CGGGACGGGUGAGUAACGCGUGGGUAACCUGCCUCAUACAGGGGGAUAACAGUUAGAAAUGACUGCUAAUACCGCAUAAGCGCACAAAACCGCAUGGUUUGGUGUGAAAAACUGAGGUGGUAUGAGAUGGACCCGCGUCUGAUUAGCUAGUUGGAGAGGUAACGGCUCACCAAGGCAACGAUCAGUAGCCGACCUGAGAGGGUGACCGGCCACAUUGGGACUGAGACACGGCCCAAACUCCUACGGAAGGCAGCAG
rnacentral:rRNA from 1 species